UAGGGAAUCUUCCGCAAUGGACGAAGUCUGAUGGAGCAACGCCGCGUGAGUGAUGAAGGGUUUCGGCUCGUAAAACUCUGUUGUUGGAGAAGAACGGGUGUCAGAGUAACUGUUGACAUCGUGACGGUAUCCAACCAGAAAGCCACGGCUAACUACGUGCCAGCAGCCGCGGUAAUACGUAGGUGGCAAGCGUUGUCCGGAUUUAUUGGGCGUAAAGCGAGCGCAGGCGGUUUUUUAGGUCUGAUGUGAAAGCCUUCGGCUUAACCGGAGAAGUGCAUCGGAAACCGGGAGACUUGAGUGCAGAAGAGGACAGUGGAACUCCAUGUGUAGCGGUGAAAUGCGUAGAUAUAUGGAAGAACACCAGUGGCGAAGGCGGCUGUCUGGUCUGCAACUGACGCUGAGGCUCGAAAGCAUGGGUAGCGAACAGGAUUAGAUACCCUGGUAGUCCAUGCCGUAAACGAUGAGUGCUAAGUGUUGGAG
rnacentral:rRNA from 1 species